CGUAGGGGCAAGCGUUAUCCGGAUUUACUGGGUGUAAAGGGAGCGUAGACGGAGCAGCAAGUCUGAUGUGAAAACCCGGGGCUCAACCCCGGGACUGCAUUGGAAACUGUUGAUCUGGAGUGCCGGAGAGGUAAGCGGAAUUCCUAGUGUAGCGGUGAAAUGCGUAGAUAUUAGGAGGAACACCAGUGGCGAAGGCGGCUUACUGGACGGUAACUGACGUUGAGGCUCGAAAGCGUGGGGAGCAAACAGGAUU
rnacentral:rRNA from 1 species